AGCCCUAAAAUAUUAGUAUUUAUUGGUGUUCUCCCAUUUUCAUUGACUUACGUUUAAGAAGCUGAGUUGUAUGCACUUUUAGCCCUGUGUUCCCCCCUUUUUGAUUUCAGAGUGUCAGAUUCCUCUGGGAAUGGCUUCUGGGAACAUUAGAGAUUUUCAGAUUACAGCUUCGGGGCAAUAUGGACAGUGGGCUCCAAAGCUGGCCAGACUUCAUUACUCGGGAUUGAUCAACGCCUGGAGUACCAAAGAACCUUUUUCCUGGAUCAAGGUUAGAAUUCCUCUUAUUCAUCUCACAAGCUCAAAGUGUUAUACAUAUCCCUUAUACUGUAGUCAUUCCUACCAAAACUCAGUUAACAGACAAGGAAACUGAAGAAUAAAAUGGUUUGUGGUUUGUACAAAAACACUCAUGAACAGAAGAUUUGGGAACAUAAUUGAGUAUACUGAUAUGUCCUAUUUCUUUAUAUUGGGAUUAGAACAUCUGAAUACUUUCUACUACAUCGAACUCAUCCCCUCCCCAAAUCGUGUUUUCUAUUUUAGAUGUCUCCAACUAAGUAGGUAUCCUUGAGCCCUCCAGUACUCUGUAUUUUAACACAAAAACACGUAACUCAAACCACUGUAUCACAAGCAAAGAAAUUGUAGCUUCCUUUCUAAAACUGAACCUGUGUCCCUCAUAAAUUCUAUACCCCUGGGUAGUAGGAAAUACCUACUUAAAUUUAGUCCAAUCUGGAGAACUAAGAUAGGUUAAUACCUGAAGCCCUGUCUUUAGGUUAACUCAGUUUCUUUUAAAUAAAUAACUCAGUCUUACAAAUUUUCUCACUUCCUUAUUUCCUUUAGAGCAGC
rnacentral:lncRNA from 1 species